ensembl:lncRNA
GAGAGAGGGAGAAAGAGAGAUAUCAUAGAUGCCUUGGAGAGAAUAAGAUGAAAGAAGGAGGGAAAGAGAGGGAGGGAGGGAGAGAGAUGCUGGAGGGAGGGAGAGAGAUGCUGGAGGGAGGGAUUGUAGAUGCAUUUGAGUGGGGGAGAGAAUGAGGUGAGAGAAGUAGAGAGAGAGAGAGAGAGAGAGGGAUGGAGACGAGACAGACCAAUGUGUGUGGCAGCUAUGGGCUUGUUGCAUGACCACACCUAAAGACACAGUGAGAGGAGGCAGAGGGAGGGAACAAAGGAGGGAGAGAGAGAAAGGGAGGAAUGAAUCAAAUAACAGAGAGAGAGAGAUCUCAAGUCCUGCACCCAAGUGAUGUCUAACCGUGUGGAAGCUUUGUGGUUGCAAGUGUCAACAUGGUUUCUACGUUUUACAUGGCCUGCGCUGCAUGUGGAGGUGUUUCUGGUUUUGAAAACUAGCCGACUAGCUUCUCUACUACUGGGUUGGACUUUUCUCUCUCUGCAUUAACAACGGGCGAGGACAUGUUUGACAACUAACGGUGCUUCAAGACUUUGACCAAAAACAAAGCCCAUUACCAUUUCACUACUGACAACGCCUCAAGAGAAGGAUCACAAUAUGACAUUUUCCCCAUGAAUCUUUAGGUGGAGAAUAGAGAAAUCUCUGGGAUAGGAUGACACCAUCUCCAUGUUGUGUGGUUGGUUGGUCCUGAAGAAGGAAGGGAUACGCCACUGGAACCUUGGAACCACCAUGACUUCUAGAACUGUUCAUAUUGGAACCACCAGGACUUCUAGAACUUUUCAUAUUGGAACCACCAGGACUUCUAGAACUGUUCAUAUUGGAACCACCAGGACUUCUAGAACUUUUUAUAUUGGAACCACCAGGACUUCUCGAACUGUUCAUAUUGGAACCACCAGGACUUCUAGAACUUUUCAUAUUGGAACCACCAGGACUUCUAGAACUUUUCAUAUUGGAACCAGGGUGACUUGAGAACUUUUCACAAUGAAAGGACCAGUAGCAAUCUACCUGCCAUGACUCAUCAUAGGUGGAAGAAGAGGAUGAGGAAGAGGAGAAGAUGAGGUGUUGAAGUCUUUCUUUCGAUGAUCUGAAAAGAUUGGGAUGUGCUUGUGGACACAGGAUUUAAAUAAACCUCUACCUACGAGAGAAUUUUAAAUUAUAAUGCUGUGAGGACAUUUUAGACAGCCGGAUGAGAAACAAGCACAUUAAACCUUGUACUGUAUUUAGGGUUGCAAAAUUUCAGGAACUUUCCCCAAAUUCCCUGAUUUUCCAGAAAUCCAGGUUGGAAUUUUUCUUGAAUCAGACAGAAAUAAGCACAAAAUCCAUAAUCCUCCAACCUGGGAAUUUGGGGGAAAAUGACUGGAUUUUGCAACCCGAUAUUGAAACUUGAGUUUUUUCUGAAUCCCAGUUACUGUGGUACGUUUCAACAAAGAGUUUUAUCAAGAGUUUUAUCAAAGUGCGUAAAUAGUUAGAGAUGCAUGGUUUAAUCAAGUACUAAAGCCAAUAGAACACAGACACGCGCUGAUGUCAUCACGAUGAUGAUACGACUCAGAGGUGGUCCCCCUUUUACGUGUGUGUGUGUGUGUGUGUGUGUGUGUGUGUGUGUGUGUGUGUGUGUGUGUCAGUGUGUGUGUGUGUGUGUGUGUGUGUUUGUGUGUGUGUGUGUGUACAGCGAGUAGGUGUGAUUUUUGUCUCACAAAAAAUAUGAUAAAACUCCAGAAUGCCAAAUCAACCAAACUGCCAAGACUGUGUUAUUCUUCCCUCUUCUGAAUAACUUCCAUAUUACCAUCGUGUAUUUAUUUAGUUGGUUUAUGUGUAUGAGGUUAUAUCAUAACAAGGACGUCACUAUGAGUCCAAUGACUUCAAUAUGAGUCCAAUGACUUCAAUAUGAGUCCAAUGACUUCACUAUGAGUCCAAUAACUUCAAUAUGAGUCCAAUGACUUCACUAUGAUGACUUCAAUAUGAGUCCAAUGACUUCACUAUGAGUCCAAUAACUUCAAUAUGAGUCCAAUGACUUCACUAUGAUGACUUCAAUAUGAGUCCAAUGACUUCACUAUGAGUCCAAUGACUUGGACAUGUUGAUGAUUAUUACUUGUGAGGUGAUUUAUGAGUUGAAGCCUGUGCAUGCGGCCCAAAUAGCACCCUAUUCGGUGCACUAAAAAGUAGUGCACUAUUUGUAUUACCUUUAUUUAACUAGGCAAGUCAGUUAAUUAAGAACAAAUUCUUAUUUUCAAUGAUGGCCUAGGAGCAGUGGGUUAACUGCCUUGUUCAGGGGCAGAACAACAGAUACACACACCAUCAGCUCAGGGAUUCAAACUUGCAACCUUUAAGUCACUAGUCCAACGCUCUAACCACUAGGCUACCCUGCCGUCUUAUAUGGGGAAUAGGGUGCCAUUUGUGCAGCCUACUAGUUGGGGGGUUCUGUUCUGAGUAUUGUGAAUGGGGGGGGUCUGUUCUGAGUAUUGUGAAUGGGGGUUCUGUUCUGAGUAUUGUGAAUGGGGGUUCUGUUCUGAGUAUUGUAAAUGGUGGGGUUCUGUUCUGAGUAUUGUGAAUGGUGGGGUUCUGUUCUGAGUAUUGUGAAUGGGGGUUCUGUUCUGAGUAUUGUGAAUGGGGGUUAUGUUCUGAGUAUUGUGAAUGGGGGUUCUGUUCUGAGUAUUGUGAAUGGGGGUUCUGUUCUGAGUAUUGUGAAUGGGGGUUCUGUUCUGAGUAUUGUGAAUGGUGGGGUUCUGUUCUGAGUAUUGUGAAUGGGGGUUCUGUUCUGAGUAUUGUGAAUGGUGGGGUUCUGUUCUGAGUAUUGUGAAUGGGGGUUCUGUUCUGAGUAUUGUGAAUGGUGGGGUUCUGUUCUGAGUAUUGUGAAUGGUGGGGUUCUGUUCUGAGUGUUGUGAAUGGGGGUUCUGUUCUGAGUAUUGUGAAUGG